UACUCCUACGGGAGGCAGCAGUGGGGAAUAUUGCACAAUGGGGGAAACCCUGAUGCAGCAACGCCGCGUGAGUGAUGACGGUCUUCGGAUUGUAAAGCUCUGUCUUUAGGGACGAUAAUGACGGUACCUAAGGAGGAAGCCACGGCUAACUACGUGCCAGCAGCCGCGGUAAUACGUAGGUGGCAAGCGUUGUCCGGAUUUACUGGGCGUAAAGGGAGCGUAGGUGGAUAUUUAAGUGGGAUGUGAAAUACCCGGGCUUAACCUGGGUGCUGCAUUCCAAACUGGAUAUCUAGAGUGCAGGAGAGGAAAGGAGAAUUCCUAGUGUAGCGGUGAAAUGCGUAGAGAUUAGGAAGAAUACCAGUGGCGAAGGCGCCUUUCUGGACUGUAACUGACACUGAGGCUCGAAAGCGUGGGGAGCAAACAGGAUUAGAUACCCUGGUAGUC
rnacentral:rRNA from 1 species